UACGUAGGGUGCAAGCGUUGUCCGGAAUUAUUGGGCGUAAAGAGCUCGUAGGCGGUUUGUCGCGUCUGCUGUGAAAACCCGAGGCUCAACCUCGGGCCUGCAGUGGGUACGGGCAAACUAGAGUGCGGUAGGGGAGAAUGGAAUUCCUGGUGUAGCGGUGGAAUGCGCAGAUAUCAGGAGGAACACCGAUGGCGAAGGCAGUUCUCUGGGCCGUAACUGACGCUGAGGAGCGAAAGCAUGGGGAGCGAACAGG
rnacentral:rRNA from 1 species